rnacentral:rRNA from 1 species
GACGAACGCUGGCGGCGGGCUUAACACAUGCAAGUCGAACGGAAAGGCCCUGCUUUUGUGGGGUUCUCGAGUGGCGAACGGGGGAGUAACACGUGAGUAACCUGCUCUUGACUUUGGGAUAACUUCAGGAAACUGGGGCUAAUACCUGCUAGGUGCUCCUGCUGCAUGGUGGGGGUUGGAAAGUUUCGGCGGUUGGGGAUGGACUCGCGGCUUAUCAGCUUGUUGGUGGGGUAGUGGCUUACCAAGGCUUUGACGGGUAGCCGGCCUGAGAGGGUGACCGGCCACAUUGGGACUGAGAUACGGCCCAGACUCCUACGGGAGGCAGCAGUGGGGAAUAUUGCACAAUGGGCGGAAGCCUGAUGCAGCAACGCCGCGUGCGGGAUGACGGCCUUCGGGUUGUAAACCGCUUUCGCCUGUGACGAAGCGUGAGUGACGGUAAUGGGUAAAGAAGCACCGGCUAACUACGUG